rnacentral:misc_RNA from 1 species
UCCGGCUUAUCACCGGCGGUUUCUUUAGAGUGCCCAACUAAAUGAUGGCAACUAAAGACGAGGGUUGCGCUCGUUGCGGGACUUAACCCAACAUCUCACGACGCGAGCUGACGACAGCCAUGCGGCACCUGUCCACGGGUCCCGAAGGAGGCCCCCUGUUUCCAGAGGGUUUCCCGUGCAUGUCAAACCUGGGUAAGGUUCUUCGCGUUGCUUCGAAUUAAACCACAUGCUCCACCGCUUGUGCGGGCCCCCGUCAAUUCCUUUGAGUUUCAACCUUGCGGUCGUACUUCCCAGGUGGGAUACUUAAUGCUUUCGCUCAGACGCACACUGUGUAUCGCGUAUGUCGAGUAUCCAUCGUUUAGGGCGUGGACUAC